rnacentral:misc_RNA from 1 species
UUUGACAAAUUUGACAAAUCCUUUUCCUCAUGGUCGGUCAUUUGGACCGAGCAUAGAACAUUUUGUGUGUUUAUUUUCACACAAUUUAGGUAAAAUUUCGGCCUGAUUUUGCAUACUUUAACACAUAGAGUAUUUUCAGAGUAGCCCUAAUUAAUAGUCACGCUAAUUACCACUCAAGAGCUGUAGCUUGAAAUACGUGUCUUUUGAGGUUAUAUUGGAAAGUUAACAUAUUGUUUUCAACAUGUCCAGGACAAUGUCCCGCAGGAGAGGCGAAAUCGAGGAGACCGACAAGCUCACUCGUAUUGCAAUCGUCAAUGCCGACAAGUGCAAACCCAAACGAUGCCGGCAAGAAUGCAAAAAGUCUUGUCCUGUUGUUCGUAUGGGCAAGCUUUGCAUUGAAGUAAGCCCUAACAGCAAAAUUGCUGUUAUAUCUGAAGAACUGUGUAUUGGUUGUGGUAUUUGUGUGAAGAAAUGCCCAUUUGAUGCCAUCAACAUCAUCAACCUUCCCAGCAACUUACUGCGUGAGACCACUCACCGUUAUGGCAAGAACUCGUUUAAACUCCAUCGUCUCCCCAUUCCCCGUCCGGGCGAAGUUCUUGGGCUAGUCGGGACUAAUGGGAUCGGCAAAUCCACUGCUUUGAAAAUUUUGGCUGGCAAGCAGAAGCCAAAUUUGGGGAGAUACAUGGAACCUCCAGACUGGACGGAAAUUCUAAGCCACUUCAGGGGAAGUGAGUUGCAAAACUAUUUUACAAAAAUUCUCGAAGAUGACUUGAAGGCGCUGAUCAAGCCGCAGUAUGUGGACCAAAUUCCCAAGGCCGUAAAAGGCACUGUGGGGCUAUUGCUAGAUAAGAAGGAUGAGCUGAAAAAUCAGGAUAUUAUUUGCGGCAUGCUUGAUCUGAAACACAUUAAAGAACGAGAAAUCAGUGCGUUAUCUGGUGGUGAGCUUCAAAGAUUCGCCUGUGCCAUGGUGUGCAUUCAAGAUGGAGAUAUUUUCAUGUUCGAUGAACCUUCCUCCUACUUGGACGUGAAACAACGUUUGAAUGCCGCUAAAACUAUCCGAUCCCUACUUAGUCCCGAUAAAUUUAUAAUUGUCGUUGAGCACGAUUUGAGCGUACUGGAUUAUCUAUCAGAUUUUAUUUGUUGCCUUUAUGGUGUUCCUGGUGCCUAUGGUGUAGUUACAAUGCCUUUCUCUGUUCGUGAAGGUAUUAACAUCUUUUUGGAUGGGUUUGUUCCCACCGAAAAUCUGCGUUUCCGCGAUGAAUCGCUGGUAUUCAAAGUGGCUGAAUCCGCCACUGAAGAAGAGGUGAAGCGAAUGAAUCAUUACGAAUAUCCGACCAUGUCGAAAACUAUGGGCAACUUCAAGUUGGCGGUGAAAAAGGGACAGUUUUCCGACUCGGAAAUUUUGGUGCUAUUAGGUGAAAAUGGUACAGGAAAGACCACAUUCAUUCGAAUGUUGGCCGGUAACUUGGAACCCGAUACGGGAUCAGGGACUUUGCCUCAGCUGCACAUCAGUUACAAGCCGCAGAAAAUCAGCCCCAGGUCCCACGGAUUAGUCCGGCAAUUGCUGCAUGAAAAAAUUAGGGACGCCUACAUUCACCCACAAUUCAUCGCUGAUGUGAUGAAGCCACUGAAAAUCGAAGACAUCAUCGACCAAGAGGUUCAGAAUCUCUCUGGAGGAGAACUGCAAAGAGUUGCAAUGACUCUUUGCUUGGGCAAACCUGCCGAUGUCUAUCUUAUCGACGAGCCCAGUGCUUAUCUCGAUUCCGAGCAGCGUUUGGUCGCAGCCAAAGUAAUUAAAAGAUUUAUUUUGCACGCCAAGAAGACCGGAUUUGUAGUAGAGCACGAUUUCAUCAUGGCAACUUAUCUUGCGGAUCGGGUAAUUGUCUUCGAAGGCCAACCAUCGGUAGACACAACUGCUAAUUCACCGCAAACCCUGCUGGCAGGCAUGAACAGGUUCUUGGAGCUGCUGGGAAUCACUUUCCGAAGAGAUCCGAACAAUUUUAGGCCUCGAAUUAACAAGCAAGAGUCGGUCAAGGAUGUGGAACAGAAGAGAGCUGGUCAGUAUUUCUUUUUGGAAGACUAACUUUCUUUGAGCUGGCAAAUUUUGGUUGUUUUCUUGUUAGAUUAUAGGGCAUAAAUCUUGUAAGACAACAAUAAAAAUGGCAAUUUUUCUGCUUAUUUAAACACCCAACUUGUGCUGUACAAUGUAAUAAGAAUCAACCAGGUGUGUGUGACAAUUUUGGGUUUAUCCAAAAAGUUUGGCAAAAAGAUCAAUAAUUACGAACGCAAAUGUUUUAUUUAUUGCGAAGCUGUACUGCUAAUUGUGCGGCGAAUUUAUCAACAAACGGUCACAAAUAAAAAAAUUGUUGUAAUGAA